UACGUAGGGCGCAAGCGUUAUCCGGAAUUAUUGGGCGUAAAGAGCUCGUAGGCGGUUUGUCGCGUCUGCCGUGAAAGUCCGGGGCUCAACUCCGGAUCUGCGGUGGGUACGGGCAGACUAGAGUGAUGUAGGGGAGACUGGAAUUCCUGGUGUAGCGGUGAAAUGCGCAGAUAUCAGGAGGAACACCGGUGGCGAAGGCGGGUCUCUGGGCCGAAAUCGACGCUGAGGAGCGAAAGCGUGGGGAGCAAACAGG
rnacentral:rRNA from 1 species